AAUAGAUACCCCGGUAGUCCACGCCAUAAACGAUGAAUGCUAGGUGUUAGGGGUUUCGAUACCCUUGGUGCCGAAGUUAACACAUUAAGCAUUCCGCCUGGGGAGUACGGUCGCAAGACUGAAACUCAAAGGAAUUGACGGGGACCCGCACAAGCAGUGGAGUAUGUGGUUUAAUUCGAAGCAACGCGAAGAACCUUACCAGGUCUUGACAUCCCUCUGAAUCCUCUAGAGAUAGAGGCGGCCUUCGGGACAGAGGAGACAGGUGGUGCAUGGUUGUCGUCAGCUCGUGUCGUGAGAUGUUGGGUUAAGUCCCGCAACGAGCGCAACCCUUGAUUUUAGUUGCCAGCACAUUAAGGUGGGCACUCUAGAAUGACUGCCGGUGACAAACCGGAGGAAGGCGGGGAUGACGUCAAAUCAUCAUGCCCCUUAUGACCUGGGCUACACACGUACUACAAUGGCCAGUACAACGGGAAGCGAAGUCGCGAAGCGGAGCCAAUCCUAUCAAAGCUGGUCUCAGUUCGGAUUGCAGG
rnacentral:rRNA from 1 species